rnacentral:rRNA from 1 species
UACGGAGGGCGCGAGCGUUGCUCGGAAUCAUUGGGCGUAAAGCGCGUGUAGGCGGCUUGGCAAGUCGGGUGUGAAAUCCCGGGGCUCAACUCCGGAACUGCAUUCGAUACUGCCUCGCUAGAGUCCCGGAGAGGAAGGCGGAAUUCCCGGUGUAGAGGUGAAAUUCGUAGAUAUCGGGAGGAACACCAGUGGCGAAGGCGGCCUUCUGGACGGUGACUGACGCUGAGAUGCGAAAGCGUGGGGAGCAAACAGG